ensembl:lncRNA
GUUUUCGCAGCUUUGUUCCGCACAUAAUUGUAAAAAUAUGCAUUUGACAAGACGGUAAUCCCAUAAAUGUACGCGCCACACACAGUGGAAGGUAAACAUAAGAUUAGUAUUUCACACAUAUUUAAUCGAAAACGUUAUGCGCGGCGGUUAAAAAAAUUCCCUAAUUAUAUCAGGAUCUAUGUACUGUACUACUGCAGUAGUAUUACUACUUCCUCUACUACGCAGUAUUUCCAUGUACUGCACUGCCUUUGUCUUCAGUGACUGUGUUUACAGUUUGUCGUUGAGCUCAACCUGAGAGAUCGUCGCUGAGUGAGUGAAAAAAAAAAGAAAAAAGUUUGGCUCCAACUUUGAGUUCGUCCUGUGCAGAAAAGCAGCAGCACUUGGUGUGUCAACGUGCUUUUUACUCUUCCCAGAUUGUUCACCACCAUGCCACCCAAGAGAGACGCAGGUGCGACUCCAGCACAGCCGCCCGUGAAGAUGAUAAAGAUCGAUAACGUUACAGAUGCACAAGAGUUUGGCUGUCAUUCAGGCGAGGAUAAGUUCAGGCUCCAUGAAGAGGCCAGCUACUCACCUUAUCCCAACAAUGACGUGAGAGUUCAUUGUUUAAUUAUCAGAAUAAAUAACUUGUGUAUAACUUGGAUUUUCUUUAUUUGUUCUUUUUCGACUCUUGUGGCAGCUUGACACUAUUGAAUUUGAUGAAGAAAAUGUUGCAAGCCCGGGAAUCAGAACAGACACCAUCAGCCUUCUCAUGAAAAUAGAGCAGCUACAGGCACAACUGAAAUAUGAACGCAGAUGCAGAAUUUUGGCAGAGAGAGAGCUGAGGGAACUCAAAGGAAAAAAGCCAGAAAAGAUCUGAGGAGAUGCAUCUGGCCUUUCAGUUGAUCCAUCUACUGUUCACUGAAGCCUCAUCACAAACAGUCUCAGCUGGAGGGUGGCUGUCAAGAAGCCAAUCGUAAGGAAGGAAAAUGGAGAUGAACACUCUCAUGAUGCAGAUGAGGCACACGGCACAUGAACUGCGGGUCACCCUGGAUCAUGUUCUCCACGGAGGCGAAGCAGCAGUUGCGCCACAAAACUCUGAUGAAACUAUCUCUUUCCUGACUGAGCCUGAGGCAGAAAUGAGAGCACUUCAUAAUAUACCAGAGGAUGACCACAAUUUCCUCUAUCUCUCAGAGAAUCUUCGAGUGCCAAAAAAUCUUUAUGAGCGCAUUGCAGAAAUUGCAGACUACAAGAAGUACACUUCAGCCCUGCUCAUGAUACUUUUUGAUAGAGAAACGCUGGCAACCCACUCUCUGCAGGGCCGUAGGAAUACCUUUACAGGAGAGGAUUGCCACAAGCCACAGCUCCCACCUGAGAUUUUGAAAAGUUUAAUCGAUCAUGUGGCAGCCAAGUUCAGUGUUGACAGCAGCCAAAUAAAAACCGCAAUCCGCACAAAGUUGAACAAUGAGGAUAAAUUAUUGAAGAAGAGACUGGGGUUGGGUAAAACAGAAAACAGAGCUAAUGCUGAGCCAAGCUUUUGCCAAGAUGCCUCGCUUCUGCCCGACGACGGAGCAAUGACAAGUGACUCUCAGUUAUAGUCGUUCACCUCUGUCUUCGUCCGUUGGUCACACGUAUUUCAUGUCCGAUAGAAAUAGGUCACAGAUUGCCUUUUUUGUCCACUAUAGUUCAUUCAGCAUUAAAAUCUAGUUCUUUAUUUUUUAAGAAUGAUAAGUAUAUAUAUUUUUACGUUGACAGCAGUUAAUGUCUGUUAGAUUGUUUUCAGAGUGUCACCUGGUGGCCACACCCAGGCGUUUGAUAGCACUAUAAACUGCCGCAUAUGUAAUCAUUAAUACUGUAAACAAGUGUUCUUAGGUUUUCUUACUGUAUUUAAGAGAGUGGUUAUAGGUUAAUAACCUUUUAAGCUAGAAUCAGUCAGUCAGCUGACCUUUACAUGUGUAAGUAGGACAGGGAUCUCAUUUUUGCCCUGUUGUUCAUUCCAACUUGUGCAUUGCAGGUAAUAAUGUGUUUCAAGGUAUACUGUAUGUGAUAACUGUUUCAAAGUGUUUGUCAUGUGUUUUCUGUGCUUCACUCUAACAAACAAUAAAGUUUUGCAGC